AUCCAGCGACGAAUCCCAAAUAGGACGAAAUGCGCGUUAUCCUGGAU
rnacentral:hammerhead_ribozyme from 1 species